GGACCAUGCAGCUGAAGAUGGUGCAUCGUCCGGAUGGGGAUGGAUGCUUUGAUGGCUAAUGAAGAGUUUACCUUUUUCGCAGUGAUGCCUCACUUCCUCUGGAAACACAACAGGGAGCUGUAUAAAAGGCCCACCACCCCAGACCUCUCCAUUCAAUCGCUGGGUUCUUCAACCACACAAGUCUCCAUUCACCACUGAACAAGUCUCUCUUCCACUCACAAAGAUGGGUUGCUGUGGUGGCUAUUCCGACCGUGGACCAAAAGUCAUUUGCAUCCCCUGCGGUGGCGGCAACAAUGGUUGCAACUCAUCCUGUUCGCCUUCCUGCUGCUGUGCCCCCUGCUGUGGCUGUGCCCCCUGCUGCGGCUGUGCCCCCUGCUGCGCCCCCUGCUGUGGCUGCGCCCCCUGCUGCGGCUGCGCCCCCUGCUGCGGCUGUGCCCCCUGCUGUGGCUGCGCCCCCUGCUGUGGCUGUGCUCCUUGCUGUUGCUGUGCUCCCUGCUGCUGUUGCGCCCCCUGUUGUGGCUGUUCCAAUGGUGGCGGCAGCAAUGGCGGUGGCUCUAUCUGCAUAAUCUCUAAUGGAAGAAGGUCCUCCUGCUGUGGCAUGUGAUACUUUGGACAUUCAGCUCAGCCCAUAGCAACAACAGGACCUGUCCAACUCUAGAAUAACCUCAACACUAUCAACAUCCCUUUGAAGACCUGUCGGUUGACCCCACAUUCUCCUCUUCGCUAACUCAAAAACUGUUAAGCUUUUCACCUGCCUCUUUUAAUAAUGCUCUCAUUAUCUUCUUCUCUUUGGAAGAGUUCUCUUUCCUGAACAAAUCCUCAUAAGCAAAGCAGGCAUGACUAUUGCGUAGAAUUAGAUGGGUAGGAGUUCCUUUCACCCCGUCUUUCUGGGCUAUGGAAUUGUCUUGUAGUUUGUAGUGUUGCAUGGAUAAUGAUAAUAAUAAUGAUAAUAAUAAAAUGAAUCUAAGAUA